AAAACUUCUUUCAUCAUCUAAGAAAACUCCAGAGCUUUACACUCUUCCUUUACCUCUCUGCAUUCUCUUAUUCUUUCUAAUCACUGAUCCAGUAAACUUCAAAUAUUAGGCAGUGCCAGUGAUCACAACGCGCAGAGGACUCCUCCUUCGACCGAUCAUUUUCCCCAAUCUGAACGGUGUAUCUAAGAUUUCUUGCGGUGAAGAGGCUGGUUGGAGCAUCCUGUGAAUUUAACUGUUUGCACCAGAGUUGCAUGUGGUGGUGCUUGCAGUAGAGUUUCCCAUCGUGUGCAAUGUAAUUGGAGGGACUAAUAACACACCCGAGCGCCAUUUGAAACAACUCUUGUGAUAAGGAGUUCCAAUCACUGUCACCUACACCAUUUUAAAAUAUAUCUAAACUUAGUUAUUUUUGUAACGGGAGGAUUCUUGUUUCAAUAAGCACUUAGUUAUUAUUGUAAAAUUAUUUUUUCUUGUGGAAACUAGUUCAAGAUGCAUAUGGGUAUGUAUGUUAUAUAGAUUAUAUGAAAGAGUUAAUAUACUCACUAUUUAGGUGAAUUUAUAAUAUCCUUUUAAUAUUUAUUUAUGGUAGGUAUUUGAAUUUUAAAAAUGCACAACUAAAUUUUAUAAUUGUUUUUUCUUCUAAAUCCGUGGUUCAUUAUGUCAUGAUCCCAAGUGGCCAUGUUUUGGGUGAUACUUUCCCUAAUAAGUUUGAAUCGCGGUUUUACAAAAUCAAGCUAUUUAACGAGGAAGAAAUAAGAAAGGGGAAUUGUAAUUAAUUAACUGUUGCUUUAUAGAAUAUUUAAUUGCAUUUUUUACUGUACAAAACAGGUUCAUUAAUGCAAUUAAAUAUAUAUAAUUACUAAAUUCUUUUUAUUUUUUGC